UCCCUAGAAUCCACAGUCUGCUCAUCAACGGCUAUUUACGUAGAUUCUAGAAAGUCUCUAGAGUGUCUCUAGAAGCUUCUAUUUCGAACAUCGAUCUCGAUUCGACAGGUUAGCGGCUGUGAUAAUCAUCGUCCACUUACAAAUCUCUCUUGGGCGAUGACUCGAGGCACUGUUCCCAGAACACAGCCUUCCUGGACGGUCGCAUCCGGAGAGCGCAAGCAGAUCGAGUGCGGGGAAGUCCUGCAGACACCGUUAUAACCCCUCCACCGGCCAAGGACGGGGAACUCAUUCCACCGCCACAUCUUUUUAGGCCACCAGUGGACGUCGGGGAGUCCAUUAAGCCUCCACUAGACCCAGACAUCGUUAGAUCCUCUUGCUGUACGCCUUCAACCACAUAUCAACUCGAUGUUCGCUGUAAUACAGACUGGAUGAAAGAGAUCGAAGUUGCCUAAUAUUCUUGUCAAGUAAUAAAUCGAAUGAAAAGGACGCACACAACU
rnacentral:misc_RNA from 1 species